rnacentral:rRNA from 1 species
UGGGGAAUUUUGGACAAUGGGCGAAAGCCUGAUCCAGCAAUGCCGCGUGUGUGAAGAAGGCCUUCGGGUUGUAAAGCACUUUUGUCCGGAAAGAAAUCCUUGGCUCUAAUACAGUCGGGGGAUGACGGUACCGGAAGAAUAAGCACCGGCUAACUACGUGCCAGCAGCCGCGGUAAUACGUAGGGUGCAAGCGUUAAUCGGAAUUACUGGGCGUAAAGCGUGCGCAGGCGGUUUGCUAAGACCGAUGUGAAAUCCCCGGGCUCAACCUGGGAACUGCAUUGGUGACUGGCAGGCUAGAGUAUGGCAGAGGGGGGUAGAAUUCCACGUGUAGCAGUGAAAUGCGUAGAGAUGUGGAGGAAUACCGAUGGCGAAGGCAGCCCCCUGGGCCAAUACUGACGCUCAUGCACGAAAGCGUGGGGGAGCAAAACAGGAUUAGAUACCCUGGUAGUCCACGCCCUAAACGAUGUCAACUAGUUGUUGGGGGAUUCAUUUCCUUAGUAACGUAGCUAACGCGUGAAGUUGACCGCCUGGGGAGUACGGUCGCAAGAUUAAAACUCAAAUGAAUUGACGGGGUCAUAGCUGUUUCCU